GAUGAACGCUAGCGAUAGGCUUAACACAUGCAAGUCGAGGGGCAGCAUGGUCUUAGCUUGCUAAGGCUGAUGGCGACCGGCGCACGGGUGCGUAACGCGUAUGCAACUUGCCUCACAGAGGGGGAUAACCCGUCGAAAGACGGACUAAUACCGCGUACACUCUAUGUUGGGCAUCCAAUGUAGAGGAAAUGAAAUUCGCUGUGAGAUAGGCAUGCGUCCCAUUAGCUAGUUGGUGAGGUAACGGCUCACCAAGGCGACGAUGGGUAGGGGAACUGAGAGGUUGAACCCCCACACUGGUACUGAGACACGGACCAGACUCCUACGGGAGGCAGCAGUGAGGAAUAUUGGUCAAUGGGCGAGAGCCUGGACCAGCCAAGUCGCGUGAAGGAUGACUGUCUUAUGGAUUGUAAACUUCUUUUAUACGGGAAUAACAAGAGUCACGUGUGGCUCCCUGCAUGUACCGUAUGAAUAAGCAUCGGCUAACUCCGUG
rnacentral:rRNA from 1 species